AGACUUCCACUGACACCUCCUCCCCGAGUCGACUUGUUCUGGUAUCAUAAGUCAGAAAUGGAUCUUGGUGCUUCUGGUUGCAAGGGAGGUUUGCAUUCUGAGUGUCUGGCGGGGAGCAGGGCAUGGCUGUGACUAAUCGUGACUCAUCCCUCAGGACUGGGGCACACGCACUGCCUCCAACAAGCUGGGGUUCUGUCAGGAAGGAAGAAUGAGGGGUGGCACACCGUCCUCGAACCCCCAGGGCAAACUUGACCUCGUUAGAUUGGAAGAUUUCUUUUCAGUCUCCUGUCCUGAAGUGAAAAGUUGAUUGGAGAUCCCCUUUAACAAGAUGACUAGUAUGGACUUUCUUUCCUGUGCUGAUUCUCAUAUAUUGGAACAGAUAUUAUUUUGUUCCACUGAAAUGAAUAGGCAGUUUUCAAAAAAAGAAAAAGAAAGAAGAAGAUACACAUAGAUGGCCAAACUAUCUGCUGAAAAAAAAAAAAUCUCAAUUUUCUUCAUCAAGACAUGUAAAUCGGACUUCCCUGGUGU